AACUUUCAACAAUGGAUCUCUUGGUUCUGGCAUCGAUGAAGAACGCAGCGAAAUGCGAUAAGUAGUGUGAAUUGCAGAAUUCAGUGAAUCAUCGAAUCUUUGAACGCACAUUGCGCCCCUUGGCACUCCAUGGGGCAUGCCUGUUCGAGCGUCAUUUACACC
rnacentral:rRNA from 1 species